GCCGGCAGCUGGCUCUCUGCAACUCUCACAUGUUCACCCACUGAAGCUAAGCAGGGCUGAGCCUGGUCAGUAACGGGAUGAGAGACCACAUGGGAAAGCUAGGUUGCUGUCGGAA
ensembl:rRNA 5S_rRNA 5S ribosomal RNA